CCUACGGGUGGCAGCAGUGGGGAAUAUUGGACAAUGGGCGCAAGCCUGAUCCAGCCAUGCCGCGUGAGUGAUGAAGGCCCUAGGGUUGUAAAGCUCUUUCACCGGUGAAGAUAAUGACGGUAACCGGAGAAGAAGCCCCGGCUAACUUCGUGCCAGCAGCCGCGGUAAUACGAAGGGGGACUAGCGCUGUUCGGAUUUACUGGGCGUAAAGCGCACGUAGGCGGACUUUUAAGUCAGGGGUGAAAUCCCGGGGCUACAAACCCCGGAAACAUGCCUUUAGAUACUGAGAAAGUACUUGAGUAUGGUAGAGGUGAGUGGAAUUCCGAGUGUAGAGGUGAAAUUCGUAGAUAUUACGGAGGAACACCAGUGGCGAAGGCGGCUCACUGGACCAUUACUGACGCUGAGGUGCAGAAAAGCGUGGGGAGCAAACAGGAUUAGAUACCCUAGUAGUC
rnacentral:rRNA from 1 species